rnacentral:rRNA from 1 species
AAUAUUGGUGGGAGACCGAUAGCGCAAAAGUAGUGUGAACGAAAGCUGAAAAGAACUUUGAAAGGAGAGUCAAAAGUGCUUGAAAUUGUUUAGAGGGAAGCGGUAAGGUUCGGCGAUCAUGAUCAUCAUGUAACCCUGGCUCAUUGCGAGCUUGGGUCUUUCAUAUGAACAUGGGUCAGGAUCACUUGCCUUUGAUGGACAUUGCUUCGGGAGUGGUAGAGGAACAUUGCCUUCGGGUGGUGUCUCAUUCCUUUGAAACGUCCCUUGGAGAAUUAUACAUCAUUGGGGUGAGUGAGGUGCUUACUGUACGUGCCCUCUCUUUUCGAGGCGGGAAUCUACGUUGGUUCUUGAGGUGUGUGUCCAGGCAGACAGGUUUACGGACUUAGUGUGUUUGUGGCAUUCAUGCUUCUUGGUGACUUACCACGUAUUCACCACUACGUACAAAAGAUCUUGACAAUACGGACCUCACCGGCCCGUCUUGAAACACGGACCGAGGAG